rnacentral:rRNA from 1 species
CCUACGGGAGGCAGCAGUGGGGGAUAUUGCACAAUGGGGGAAACCCUGAUGCAGCGACGCCGCGUGGGUGAAGAAGUAUUUCGGUAUGUAAAGCUCUAUCAGCAGGGAAGAAAGAAGACGGUACCUGACUAAAAUGCCCCGGCUAACUACGUGCCAGCAGCCGCGGUAAUACGUAGGGGGCGAGCGUUAUCCGGAUUCACUGGGGGUAAAGGGAGCGUAGACGGCAGUGCAAGCCAGGAGUGAAAGCCCGGGGCUCAACCCCGGGACUGCAUUUGGAACUGGGCGGCUUGAGUGCGGGAGGGGCAGGCGGAAUUCCUGGUGUAGCGGUGAAAUGCGUAGAUAUCAGGAGGAACACCGGCGGCGAAGGCGGCCUACUGGACUGCGACUGACGUUGAGGCUCGAAAGCGUGGGGAGCAAACAGGAUUAGAUACUCGUGUAGUC